CCUACGGGAGGCUGCAGUGGGGAAUAUUGCACAAUGGGCGCAAGCCUGAUGCAGCCAUGCCGCGUGUGUGAAGAAGGCCUUCGGGUUGUAAAGCACUUUCAGCGGGGAGGAAGGCGGUGAGGUUAAUACCCUCAUCGAUUGACGUUACCCGCAGAAGAAGCACCGGCUAACUCCGUGCCAGCAGCCGCGGUAAUACGGAGGGUGCAAGCGUUAAUCGGAAUUACUGGGCGUAAAGCGCACGCAGGCGGUCUGUCAAGUCGGAUGUGAAAUCCCCGGGCUCAACCUAGGAACUGCAUUCGAAGCUGGCAGGCUAGAGUCUUGUAGAGGGGGGUAGAAUUCCAGGUGUAGCGGUGAAAUGCGUAGAGAUCUGGAGGAAUACCGGUGGCGAAGGCGGCCCCCUGGACAAAGACUGACGCUCAGGUGCGAAAGCGUGGGGAGCAAACAGGAUUAGAUACCCGUGUAGUC
rnacentral:rRNA from 1 species